GACGUAGGUGGCAAACGUUAUCCGGAAUUAUUGGGCGUAAAGAGCUUGUAGGCGGUUUGUCGCGUCUGCUGUGAAAAUCCGGGGCUCAACUCCGGACUUGCAGUGGGUACGGGCAGGCUAGAGUGUGGUAGGGGAGACUGGAAUUCCUGGUGUAGCGGUGGAAUGCGCAGAUAUCAGGAAGAACACCUAUGGCGAAGGCAGCACUCUGGGACGGUACUGACGCUGAGACGCGAAAGCGUGGGGAGCAAACAGG
rnacentral:rRNA from 1 species